ACUCAAAGGAAUAGACGGGGACCCACACAAGCGGUGGAGCAUGGGGUUUAAUUCGAUGACAAGCGAAGCACCUCACCCAGACUUGACAUGUUAGGAAUUUGGUCGAAAGAUCGAAGUGCCGCAAGGAACCUAAACACAGGCGGUGCACGGUCGUCGUCAGCUCGUGUCUUGAGAUGUACUGUUCAGUCAGCUAACGAGCGCAACCCUCAUCUCAUGUUGUUUUUUCAUGAGAGACUGCCGCCUCCAAGGCGGAGGAAGGUGAGGAUGACGUCAGAUCAGCGUGCCCUUUAUGUCUGGGGCGACACCCGUGCUACAAUGGCCGGUACAAACGGCAGCCAACCCGCGAGGGUGAGCAAAUCCGAGAAAACCGGCCUCAGUUCGGAUUGAAGUCUGCAACUCGACUUCAUGAAGUUGGAAUCGCUAGUAACCGUGAAUCAGCCACGUCACGGUGAAUAUGUUCCUGGGUCUUGUACACACCGCCCGU
rnacentral:rRNA from 1 species